rnacentral:rRNA from 1 species
AUGGAUCUUGCAAGGAAAAUCGACCACAUUCUCAAAAACCACUCAGGCAUUGGCGUUAAGGCACUCAAGCUUGAAAUAUGUGGUUUCCCCUUUUUCAACAACUCUUGCGAUCUCGAUCGAUGGCUUCACAUUGCUGUCAAACCAGGGAUUGAAGAACUUGACAUGAAGCUUUUAUCAACUUAUGUAGCUCUUUGUCGAAAAAAAUCUCAUGCAACUAUUUGUCGAAAGAUAUCUGAGGCGGCUUUUUGUCGAAAAAAAUCCCAUACAAAUGUGUACAACUUUCCAUUCUCACUUUUAGAUGGGAGUGGCAAGUCGAUCCAGCAGCUUCAUCUCUACAAUUGCGCCCUCCGCCCCACAACAGGACUUGGCCACUUAAGAAGCCUGACUAGACUCGAAUUGUUUCGUGUGAGUAUUACAGAAGAUGAGUUAAGGUGCCUUUUUUCCAGUUCAAUUGCUUUGGAGAAACUGGUACUCAGGUCCUGCAAUGAAUUAUCUUUCUUGGAGAUACCUAGCCUGUUGCAGCAGCUUAACCACCUGGUUGUCAUGGAUUGUGGAAAUCUGGAAGUGAUAAAGAGCAAAGCCCCUAAUCUAUACAUUUUUCAUUAUGGUGGUACCCUAAUACCGCUAUCACUUGGUGAUUCAUUGCAGAACCUAUACAUUGAUGCUUUAUUAGGUCGCCAAGAUGUUGUUCCUUAUCCUUGGGCCGAUCUUCUGCGCAUGGUGCCACAUCUUGAAGAUCUCCAAAUAUCUUCGUAUUGUGCGAGGGAUACACUGGUGGUGCCUGGCAAAUUCCUCCACCUCCAAUGCCUAUGUAUUGGGGCUUUUAACCCAGACUAUGAUUAUUUGUCUCUGGUUUCUUUUCUCGAUGCGUGUCCUUCCUUGGAGACUUUCAUUUUAUCUGUAGAUGCGGAUCGCGUGAGGCAAGAAUCGGUUUUAGCAGAAUCUUCGCAUGAUCUAAGGCAGAUGCCAGGACACGUGCAUAGGAACAUAAAGGAUGUGUUUAUCAUUGGCUUUUGUUCAGCGAAGAGCAUGGUUGAGUUAACAUGCCAUAUGCUUGAGAAUGCGAAGUCGCUUGAGUACCUUACACUGAACACCUCUUCGAACCCUGAAAUUUCGUGCUCUGAUAGUGAAAAUGGUAGAUGCCUCCCGAUGAGCAAGCAUAUGAGGAAGGAAGCCCGCAAAGCGCUCUUGGCCGUGGAAAGAUACAUUUUGGGGAAAGUUCCCUGUAGUGUGGAGUUAGAAGUUGUGAAGCCUUGCAGCCGGUGCAAUACUCUUGAAAUUUAG